AUUGAACGCUGGCGGCAGGCCUAACACAUGCAAGUCGAGCGGAGCGGCGGACGGGUGCGUAAUACCUAGGAAUCUGCCUGGUAGUGGGGGAUAACGUUCGGAAACGGACGCUAAUCCCGCAUACUAUCAGAUGAGCCUAGGUCGGAUUAGCUAGUUGGUGAGGUAAUGGCUCACCAAGGCUACGGUCCGUAACUGGUCUGAGAGGAUGAUCAGUCACAAUGGAACUGAGAGACGGACCAGACGGCUACGGGAGGCAGCAGGGGGGAAUAUUGCACAAUGGGCGGAAGUCUGAGGAAGCGACGCCGGGUGGGGGAUGAAGGCCUUCGGGGGGUAAACGCCUUUAGACAGGGACGCGGUACCUGUAUAAGAAGCACCGGCUAACUACGUGCCAGCAGCCGCGGUAAUAC
rnacentral:rRNA from 1 species